AUUCUGCCCAUGCGGGGAAGGAUGAGAAGCUUCGACCAAGGUUCGAAUCGAGCGCCAGCGAGAGAGCGUUGCCGCAGGCAACGACCCGAAGGGCGAAGCGCGCAGCGCUGAGUAAUCCUUCCCCCACCACCA
rnacentral:sRNA from 1 species